UAAUUGCACAUAUAUAACAACCUGGCUCUGUUAUUGUUGAUGCGUAUUAUGUCAGAAGACUUGCACUAGUUCAUCUGUAAUGUUGCACGCCAAAAAUUCAUCGUCUCCGAUUCCGGAUCCUCCAUGGCACACGGUGCCAGAUUCAGCCGGUACCGUUGAACAUGCUCAAAUACUCUCACGUCUUUCAACUUAUGGGUUCAGUCAACUAUUCAUCCGUGAUAAACAACUGAUGAUUGAAGAAAUGAUGUCUAUGAAUGAACUUCAAGGUAUUGUUAUCAAAACACCUGCAGAGGCAGAGAGUUGAUAUUGUGGUUCUGGCAGCUCUGCUCCACAGAUCAGCAACGGCUUAUCAAUAAUAUGUUUGAUGAUGUGAACUACUGCCAAGUAGACAUCGGAGAUUCCGCUGUCGAUAGACUACCUGAUGAGAGUGAGGCCUUCAUAAGACUCGGAACAUUUACAGAGCUGCUAGCUACAUUUCCUUGGCAUUGGGAAGGUUUCAGUCGACUUUGGGAACUUUCUGGCGAUGAUCAGUCCCGCUAUGCUGAAUUUUUCUUAGGUUUGUCAACUUUUUGUAUCAGAACUCAGUGCUCCGAUGAUGCUGAAGAUCAAGUUGCACUUGUCCUUGAAAAAUUCGGAUGUGAUGUAAUUCAGAAACUGCCUUAUGAGAGUGAAGAGGAUUUUAGAGUCCGAAGGUUUAAAGAUAGCUUUACGAAACUACAGUUCAGUUCCCAGCUUUGUAUUGUAUCCCAACUACUAGAAGAGUUGGAAAAAAACUGAAGAAGAAGACAAAAAGGAAGCUGGAAAUAGGGAUUUCUGUUCUCGGAACAAUAUAAUAUGUUGCAAGUGUUUUGGUAAAGAUGCCGAAGAAUGGUCUACCCCAAAUCAAAAGGAUGAGGAAGAAUGGGAAUGGAUUUCUGCUGAAAAUUAUAGGCGGGAUAGUUUCUUGGCCAAGGGAAGAAGGGAAGAACUCUGUCUUCCUCAAUUCAUCAAGGUGAAAUGUCCAGAUCUAAGGGGAGGAGGAGGAUCAACUACAACAACUACACAAGGAGGAGGCAGCAGGGGACUAGUUCGCAACCACAGGCAUGCACUAAGAAACAGGCUUCCUAUGGCUGAUGAUAUCAGCGGCUGUCCCAGUGACUCUCCCUUUUAACACUUCUUUUCUUUGGUCAUGAUCAGUGGUUCACUCCCCCAGAGCUUAUCAGUGUAACUUCCAUGGGAUUCGAUCGAUUCCCUUUCUAUAUAAUGUUGCAAUUUGCGUGCAUCUUUAUUGUUUUCUAGCUGCACCUACACAGAUAAUCGUUGUUAUAAAUGCUCAUAUAAUCAUUGUCCAGAGGAUUCUUUGUUA